rnacentral:rRNA from 1 species
AUUGAACGCUGGCGGAAUGCUUUACACAUGCAAGUCGAACGGCAGCACGGACUUCGGUCUGGUGGCGAGUGGCGAACGGGUGAGUAAUACAUCGGAACGUGCCCAGUCGUGGGGGAUAACGUAGCGAAAGUUACGCUAAUACCGCAUACGAUCUACGGAUGAAAGCGGGGGACCGUAAGGCCUCGCGCGAUUGGAGCGGCCGAUGUUAGAUUAGGUAGUUGGUGGGGUAAAGGCUCACCAAGCCGACGAUCUAUAGCUGGUCUGAGAGGAUGAUCAGCCACACUGGGACUGAGACACGGCCCAGACUCCUACGGGAGGCAGCAGUGGGGAAUUUUGGACAAUGGGCGCAAGCCUGAUCCAGCCAUUCCGCGUGCAGGACGAAGGCCUUCGGGUUGUAAACUGCUUUUGUACAGAACGAAAAGCCUUGGGUUAAUACCCUGGGGUCAUGACGGUACUGUAAGAAUAAGCACCGGCUAACUACGUG